rnacentral:rRNA from 1 species
GACGAACGCUGGCGGCGUGCUUAACACAUGCAAGUCGAACGGAAAGGCCCUGCUUUUGUGGGGUGCUCGAGUGGCGAACGGGUGAGUAACACGUGAGUAGCCUGCCCUUGACUUUGGUAUAACUUCAGGAAACUGGGGCUAAUACCGGAUAGGAGCCCCUGCUGCAUGGUGGGGGUUGGAAAGUUUCGGCGGUUGGGGAUGGACUCGCGGCUUAUCAGCUUGUUGGUGGGGUAGUGGCUUACCAAGGCUUUGACGGGUAGCCGGCCUGAGAGGGUGACCGGCCACAUUGGGACUGAGAUACGGCCCAGACUCCUACGGGAGGCAGCAGUGGGGAAUAUUGCACAAUGGGCGGAAGCCUGAUGCAGCAACGCCGCGUGCGGGAUGACGGCCUUCGGGUGGUAAACCGCUUUCGCCUGUGACGAAGCGUGAGUGACGGUAAUGGGUAAAGAAGCACCGGCUAACUACGUG